rnacentral:lncRNA from 1 species
GAUGAGGUAGCAAAGUUAAAGGACGUUGAAAGUGGCGGGAGAAGAUCGACGAGGGUGAUUAGACCGAAUCCAAAAUAUUUGGACUAAGUCUUCUCAAGGUUUAUUUCCUUUAUUUUAGCUAAUAACUAAGUCUUCUUUGACUCCUAAACUGUAGGACCAGAGUAAGCACGUUGUAAUUCAAAUUGAUGCAGUUUGUUUCCAAGUUUGUAGGAACGACAGUUCCAUUUGCUUCUAUAAAAAAAGGAAAAGCCAGAAAGAAUAAAGGCAGAUUGAAUUUGCCAACAAAACUCUUGUGUACUUAUUGUUUACAGUAUUGAUUUCUCAUAUUGUCUACAAUCUCUUGGCUUCUGAAGAGGGACCGCAUCAACGUGGUAUCAGAGCAUCCUAUCCCAAAAUUUUUUUUAUAAACACAGUACACAAUUACUCGACGACGAUCUAAACGUAUCUCAAAACAGGUUGCAGCCAUGGCGAGUACCAAAGAUCGAUUGGAAGGGUUGGAGACAAGUUCUGGAAUGAUGCAAGACGAGAUGCAAAGAAUGUCAACCGCGAUGGUGGACAUGAAAGGAGAACUUGAUGACAAAUUCCGGAAAAUGGAGGAGAACUUUACCCGUUUGAUGGAGGCCGUCACGAGCAGUCGCGAUGACGGAGGAUCCAAUGCCUCGCGGGGCAGUCGACGACCGGAGCAUACUCCACCAAACACCGGUAAUGCGCGGGGAGAUCAAGUUAAUCCCUUCGCACCGAUCACCAGCCGACGCGUAAAACUCGAGUUCCCACGAUUCUCAGGAGGAGAUCCGACCGAAUGGGUGAGCAAGGUCAAACAAUUCUUCGAGUAUCAAGAGAUGGCCCCGGAGCAGCACGUCAGUUUCACUUCAUUCCAUCUGGAUGGAGUUGCGAAUGAAUGGUGGCAGGCGAUCUCAAAAGCUCUGCGGGAGGACCAGGUGGAGAUCACGUGGGAAGUGUUUGAAGAAGAGCUGUGGGCCAGAUUCGGCCCCACAGACGGUGAAGAUUUCCACGAAGCACUCUCCCGAGUCCGCCAAACUGGGUCUUUAAGUGAUUAUCAGCAGGAGUUUGAAAGAUUGCAAAACAAGGUACGCGGUUGGUCACAGCAAGCAUUAGUGGGAACAUUCAUGGGUGGACUUCAACCAGAAAUUGCCGAUGGCAUCAGGAUGUUCCGUCCCAAAACCUUGAAAGAGAUAAUCAAUUAUGUGCGAUUGAUGGAUGGCCAAUUGCAGAGGCUAAAACGGAUGAGCCCAUCCAAACCAGCAUUCAGAUCUUUCACUCCAUCACGACCUAUGACCACUCGGGAACCUCAAACACCAACGCAAGGACCAAAGAAACUAAGUUGGGAAGAGUUAAAGAAGAAGCGUAGCCUUGGUCUUUGUUUCAGCUGCGAUGAAAGGUAUACGCCGGGACAUAAAUGCAAACAGCCCCAGUUGUUCAUCAUGGAGGGUGAGCAAGAUGAUGAUAUGGAUAUCGAGGAUGACGAUGAGAUUGACCCAAAACCGGAGAUUACGGUGUAUGCCUUAGCCGGAUGGGAUACGGCCAACACUAUUCGCAUUCAAGCACAGAUUCGCAAACAGGAGCUCAUCGCUCUGGUUGAUAGUGGUUCCACCCAUAACUUUAUCAGCGAAAAAGCCGCUCGACGACUUAACCUGUCAGUCACACCAAUCUCUCCAUUCUCGGUGCGAGUCGCCGACGGCAAACCAUUGAUAUGUCGACAUCGCUUCGAGGCAGUAUCGAUACAGAUGGGAGGAGCAACUUUUACGGUGACACUGUACGCAUUACCCUUGGUGGGCUUGGAUUUAGUCAUGGGAAUUCAAUGGUUACAAUCUUUGGGCCCAACAUUGUGCGAUUGGCGAGCACAAACUAUGAGAUUUCACUGGACCGGACAGGAAAUUACGCUGAAGGGAAUACAAGCACUGGGCCUCAGGCCCACAACUCAGGAGUCGAUGUCCAAAGAAGCCCGACAAGGCCAAACAAUUUUUGCGAUCAGUAUGGCCCAUGACGACGAACAGCCCUCACCUGUUCCUGAUGAGAUGAGAUGUUUGGUGACGGAGUUCACCGAUCUGUUCGCCGCGCCGUCCCAGUUACCACCGGAUCACGCUCAAAGAAGGAACGGACCCAGUCAAUGUACGGCCGUACCGUUAUGCCUACUACCAAAAAGACGAGAUCGAGCGCCAGGUAGCCGAGAUGCUUAACGCCGGAAUCAUUCGGCCGAGUUCAAGCCCAUUCUCAUCGCCAGUCCUCCUUGUAAAGAAGAAAGAUGGAUCCUGGAGAUUCUGUACGGAUUACCGAGCAUUGAAUGCGGUGACCGUAAAAGAUCGUUUUCCAAUUCCGACAGUUGAAGACAUGUUGGAUGAGCUCAACGGUGCCACCAUUUUCACGAAGCUUGAUCUCACCGCCGGCUAUCACCAGGUUCGUAUGCAUCCGCCGGACAUCCCUAAAACGGCAUUCCGUACCCACAACGGAUAUUACAAAUAUUUGGUCAUGCCGUUCGGCCUUUGCAACGCACCAUCGACCUUUCAGGCACUAAUGAACAAUGUUUUCCGGCAGCUGCUUCGCAAAUCGGUACUUGUUUUCUUUGACGAUAUUUUAAUCUACAGUGCUUCUUUGCAAGAGCAUAUUCAGCACGUCAGAGAGGUGUUUUGCAUCCUGCGACAACACCAACUUGCUGUGAAAUACAAGAAAUGUGCUUUUGGCCAGCCUGAGCUGGAGUAUCUGGGUCACAUCAUUUCCGGGGACGGGGUUAAAGUGGAUCGAGCUAAGAUAGCGGCGAUGCUUGAUUGGCCAACACCAACCACAGUGACGGAGCUGCGUGGGUUUUUAGGCCUCACCGGAUACUAUCGCAAAUUCGUUCGGGAGUACGGCUUGAUUGCACGACCGUUAACCAAUCUUUUGCGCAAGGGCCAAUUUUCGUGGUCAACCGAGGCGGACAAGGCGUUUUCUGACCUGAAGAAGGCACUCACUACGACGCCUACUCUCGCUCUUCCGGAUUUUUCACUUCCCUUUGUGAUCCAAACUGAUGCAUCAGGAGAUGGCAUCGGGGCUGUUCUGUCACAAAACGGUCGACCGAUCGCCUUCAUGAGUCGCACGCUGGGAAUUACGAAACAGUCAUGGUCGACAUACGCUCGGGAAAUGUUGGCCAUUGUUAUCACUAUACGGAUUUGGCGACCAUACCUGAUCGGCCGAAAAUUUACGAUUCAGACAGAUCAGAAGAGUUUACGGUAUUUGCUGGAACAAAGGAUACUCACACCAGAGCAGCAACGCUGGAUGGGUAAGCUAGUUGGUUUUGAUUACGAGAUCACCUACAAACCAGGUCGUGCCAACGCCGCCGCUGAUGCUCUAUCACGAGUCAAUGGGAGUCCAACUUUGGCAGCUAUUUUUGUUCAACAGUCCUCGCUUUGGAAUGAUAUAAGAGCUUUGAACAAAACGGAUCCUUAUUUGAUUCGCAUUGGGAAAUUGGCGGAGACAAAUCCAGGUCGUCCGUAUGAAUGGAAGAACGACCUCAUUUACUACCACAACAGAGUCGUGGUGCCACCUGCAUCUCCUUUCAUUAAGCAACUCUUACGGGAACAUCACGAUACGCCAAUGGGUGGCCACUCCGGUGUUCUGCGAACAUACCGACGCCUCGCUCCUCAGUUCUAUUGGCCAUCCAUGCAUCGCAGUGUCCGUGACUAUGUAGCAUCUUGCGAGGUAUGUCAAAAAGCCAAAUAUUCAUCGUUAUCACCAGCCGGUUUACUGCAACCUUUGCCUGUUCCGUCACAAGUCUGGGAGGAUAUUUCCUUAGACUUUGUCGAUGGUUUGCCCAGAUCAGACGGAAACACUUUGCUGAUGGUGGUGGUCGAUCGUUUAACAAAGUAUGCUCAUCUGAUUCCACUCGCUCAUCCAUAUACGGCUCGUGUGGUGGCUAAUAAGUUCAUUCAUCAUGUCAUGAAACUUCAUGGAGUUCCGCGAUCUAUCGUCAGUGACCGCGAUCCCAUCUUUGUCAGUUCAUUUUGGAAGGAGUUUUGGAAGCUUUCGGGAACGCAGUUGCGUAUGUCCACUGCCUAUCAUCCUCAGUCCGACGGACAGACUGAGGUAGUGAACAGGUGUAUUGAGCAAUUUUUGAGGUGUUUUGUCCAUCACCAUCCGAAACAGUGGAGCUCUUUUCUACCCUGGGCCGAGUUCUGGUAUAAUACGACGUUCCAUGCUUCAACGGGUAUGUCUCCAUUCCAGGCUCUUUAUGGUCGCGCACCACCACUCGUUCCAGCAUACGAAGUGGGCUCUGCUCGUAUUGAGGAACUUGAUGAGCAGAUGGCUUCCCGUGAUGAGCUAUUGGCAGAACUUAAACAUCAUCUGAUCACUGCUAACAAUCGCAUGAAGCAGCUUGCAGAUGCGAAACGGAGGGAUGUACAAUUUGCAGUGGGAGAUUGGGUUUUAUUGCGCAUUCAACCAUAUCGGCAGAAAACGCUCUUCCGCCGCAGUUCGCAGAAGCUGUCACAUCGGUUCUUUGGACCUUUUCAAGUCAACGCUCGAGUAGGAGAAGUCGCUUACCGGCUUACCUUGCCGGAGGGUACCAAAAUCCAUCCCGUUUUCCAUGUCUCGUUGCUCAAACCUUGGAUUGGAGAAGGAACACCGGACAUGGGAGUACUUCCUCCAUUACGUGACAAUGGCGUAUUAAAGUUACAACCUGCAGAAGUGUUACAGGUUCGAUGGAGUCAGGCCGGAGACAAGGACACGGCGGAGGUACGGGUUCACUGGAAGGGACUUCACGCCGAUGAUGCAACAUGGGAACCUUUGGACCAGUUUGAGGUCCGUUUUCCCGAUUUCACCUUGAACCUUGAGGACAAGGUUCGUCUUCAGGCGGAGGGUAUUGAUGAGGUAGCAAAGUUAAAGGACGUUGAAAGUGGCGGGAGAAGAUCGACGAGGGUGAUUAGACCGAAUCCAAAAUAUUUGGACUAAGUCUUCUCAAGGUUUAUUUCCUUUAUUUUAGCUAAUAACUAAGUCUUCUUUGACUCCUAAACUGUAGGACCAGAGUAAGCACGUUGUAAUUCAAAUUGAUGCAGUUUGUUUCCAAGUUUGUAGGAACGACAGUUCCAUUUGCUUCUAUAAAAAAAGGAAAAGCCAGAAAGAAUAAAGGCAGAUUGAAUUUGCCAACAAAACUCUUGUGUACUUAUUGUUUACAGUAUUGAUUUCUCAUAUUGUCUACAAUCUCUUGGCUUCUGAAGAGGGACC